UAAUUAUAUACAUAAAAACUACUAAACGACAUGUUUUAUUUAAUAAAGAAAGAUUUCAAGUUCUGUAAUUUUCGACAUUGUUGCCAACAUUGAAUAGUUAUUUCAGUUUAAUUUACAAUAAAAACCUUAAAAGUUGUCAUUGACCUUUGCGUGACAUAACCUCGAUAGUCUGUCCACAUUUUCCAAGAUUCUGUAUAAAAAUGCGCCGUAUUCAAGGGAAUUUCGGCUCAAGGGAUCCGGAGGAGGACCGUAAAAAGAGCCGUGAAUCAGUUUUGGCGAAUUUGGUUUUGUUUUGCUCGAUUGUGGUGAUCAUACGAGUGGCCCCGAUUGUGGUAAACAGCCUAUAAUGGGGGCACGUUUUGGUCUUCGCAAUGUGGGACUGAAUGUUGUGAUGUAAUAAAGUUUUAUACGUUUUUCAUUAUUUGUAUGACUUGUAAAUUACUUGGAGUGUAGAAAAGCCGAAUAAAGUCAUGUAAUCAGA